rnacentral:pre_miRNA from 1 species
GGCGUAAGUUGUUAAGUUGCUGAGAUUUCACCACACACCAGACCACAAGAGCUGAUGAAACUCUCAAGAUAAGUGAAGCG